GACGAACGCUGGCGGCGUGCUUAACACAUGCAAGUCGAACGGAAAGGCCCUGCUUUUGUGGGGUGCUCGAGUGGCGAACGGGUGAGUAACACGUGAGUAACCUGCCCUUGACUUUGGGAUAACUUCAGGAAACUGGGGCUAAUACCGGAUAGGAGCUCCUGCUGCAUGGUGGGGGUUGGAAAGUUUUGGCGGUUGGGGAUGGACUCGCGGCUUAUCAGCUUGUUGGUGGGGUAGUGGCUUACCAAGGCUUUGACGGGUAGCCGGCCUGAGAGGGUGACCGGCCACAUUGGGACUGAGAUACGGCCCAGACUCCUACGGGAGGCAGCAGUGGGGAAUAUUGCACAAUGGGCGGAAGCCUGAUGCAGCAACGCCGCGUGCGGGAUGACGGCCUUCGGGUUGUAAACCGCUUUCGCCUGUGACGAAGCGUGAGUGACGGUAAUGGGUAAAGAAGCACCGACUAACUACGUG
rnacentral:rRNA from 1 species